AAGCCAUGUGAGCAGCAAGUAUUAACUGACCUUGUGACAACCUGCAUAACAGCUUCGCUUCACCACCCAUCUUUUUCAAUUUCCUCCUUGCAAAAGAUUAGCAGGAUUCUCCCUUAGAAGAAAAAGAUGACUUGGCUUCAUGAUGGAGUUAGCAGCUUAAGGCAGCUUGUGGCAUUUCAUAUGGCUGUUGAACCUGCAAGACACAACCCACAGCAGAGUUGGAGUUCAGCUGGAGUCUUUCUGAUCCGUACCUGAUUGAACUGAACUGAGGCCCUGGCCGAGGUUAGGAUAAGGCUGCAGUUAGCCAUGGCAACACGUGAGCAACAGCCCCAAUACCUCCAGGUCCCACUCCCUCCUUCAAAGGAAGAUGAAAUGUUAUGGUAGCCUUCCUCGCCAGAGAUAAAACAAAUAAAUAAAUAAUAAUAAUAAUAAAAAGUAAUAAUAAUAAAAAAAUUUGCACA